AACGCACGAGACCUGCGGACCUGCGGAAGGAUCAUUAAAAAUGCAGGGGGGCUCUUUGGGGUCUCCCACUAUUUUUAUUCUGUGCACCGUUAUUCAGGGGGGCCGAAUUCACUUUUGGUCACCCGCCCUGGGUUGGUUCGCUGUCUCCUUUGGGGGACUGGUCGGCCGCCCAGACAACUAUUAUACUAUUAUGACUGAACCAUAACAGAAAAUUGUUAACAUAUAAACAACUUUCAACAA
rnacentral:misc_RNA from 1 species